UAACACUCGUACGCUUUAAAAUUGUGUGUAGACAAACUCUGAAAAUGAUUUUAGCAUACUUCAUUUUAUUUGUGCUAAUUUCAUAUUCUUAUGGACAGUCCCUGACCUCCUCUGCUUCUGUCGUGAAGAAACCUGGAGAGUCAGUUACCCUGUCCUGCACUGUUUCUGGACUCACGCUUAGCUGGUUGCACUGGAUCCGUCAGAAACCAGGACGAGGUCUGGAGUGGAUCGGGCGCAUUGAUGAUGGCACUGGCACAAUAUUCGCUCAGUCUCUGCAGGGCCAGUUCUCCAUCACUAAAGACACCAAUAAAAACAUGUUGUACCUCCAAGUGAAGAGUCUGAAAGCUGAAGACACGGCUGUUUAUUACUGUGCAUGA